UACAGAGGGUGCGAGCGUUGUCCGGAAUCACUGGGCGUAAAGGGUGCGUAGGCGGUUGUUUAAGUCUGUCGUGAAAUCCCCGGGCUCAACCUGGGAAUGGCGAUGGAUACUGGGCAGCUAGAGUGUGUCAGAGGAUGGUGGAAUUCCCGGUGUAGCGGUGAAAUGCGUAGAGAUCGGGAGGAACAUCAGUGGCGAAGGCGGCCAUCUGGGACAACACUGACGCUGAAGCACGAAAGCGUGGGGAGCAAACAGG
rnacentral:rRNA from 1 species